GACGAACCGUGCGAACGUUAUUCGGAAUCACUGGGCUUAAAGGGCGCGUAGGCGGGCCGAAAAGUCAGGGGUGAAAGCCCCCGGCUCAACCGGGGAAGUGCCUUUGAUACUGACGGCCUCGAGGGGGAUAGGGGCGUGCGGAACUUCCGGUGGAGCGGUGAAAUGCGUAGAUAUCGGAAGGAGCACCGGUGGCGAAAGCGGCGCGCUGGAUCCCUUCUGACGCUGAGGCGCGAAAGCCAGGGGAGCGAACGGG
rnacentral:rRNA from 1 species